UCGGUCAUGGAUUCGAAUAUUUUGCGCAGCACAAAAUCAUCCUAAAGGUGGUUCUUGUCGUAGAGUCGUUCACGUAAUGGCUUAUCGGUUGCAUCUUCCUGCGCCAACCACUUUUGCGGACGCAUUGAACUAAAGCUUGAGAAGGCGUGUAUGGGCCUUCAUCGAUAUUUGUGGCGCUUCGAAGGAUUUAUUGCGAAUAAGAAGCGCUUGGCAUGUUUUUGCAUCCAUUUUUCUUUAACCUAUUUAAUUAAUUAAUACAAAAAAUAUCGGAACUUCCGAAGUAUGAGAACCAAGAUGGCGGACACCAG